GAUGAACGCUGGCGGCGUGCCUAAUACAUGCAAGUCGAGCGAACAGAUGAGGAGCUUGCUCCUCUGACGUUAGCGGCGGACGGGUGAGUAACACGUGGAUAACCUACCUAUAAGACUGGUAUAACUUCGGGAAACCGGAGCUAAUACCGGAUAAUAUAUUGAACCGCAUGGUUCAAUAGUGAAAGACGGUUUUGCUGUCACUUAUAGAUGUAUCCGCGCCGCAUUAGCUAGUUGGUAAGGUAACGGCUUACCAAGGCAACGAUGCGUAGCCGACCUGAGAGGGUGAUCGGCCACACUAGGACUGAGACACGGUCCAGACUCCUACGGGAGGCAGCAGUAGGGAAGCUGCCGCAAUGGGCGAAAUCCUGACGGAGCAACGCCGCGUGAGUGAUGAAGGUCUUCGGAUCGUAAAACUCUGUUAUUAGGGAAGAACAAAUGUGUAAGUAACUAUGCACGUCUUGACGGUACCUAAUCAGAAAGCCACGGCUAACUACGUG
rnacentral:rRNA from 1 species